rnacentral:misc_RNA from 1 species
AACGCACGAGACCUGCGGACCUGCGGAAGGAUCAUUAAUGAGGAGCUGCCCCUCGUGGGUAGACCUCCCACCCUCUGUGAACUUACCUUUGUUGCUUUGGCAGGCCCGUCCUCUGGACCGCCGGCUUCGGCUGGCCCGUGCCUGCCAGAGGAUUCCAAACCCUGUCUGUCAGUGUUGUCUGAGUCUAUAUGAAAUCGUUAAAACUUUUAACAAUGGAUCUCUAGAUCGGAAGAGCACACG